AGCGAACGCUGGCGGCAGGCCUAACACAUGCAAGUCGAACGAACUCUUCGGAGUUAGUGGCGGACGGGUGAGUAACACGUGGGAACGUUCCUUUAGGUUCGGAAUAACUCAUGGAAACUUGUGCUAAUACCGAAUGUGCCCUUCGGGGGAAAGAUUUAUCGCCUUUAGAGCGGCCCGCGUCUGAUUAGCUAGUUGGUGAGGUAAAGGCUCACCAAGGCGACGAUCAGUAGCUGGUCUGAGAGGAUGAUCAGCCACAUUGGGACUGAGACACGGCCCAAACUACUACGGGAGGCAGCCGUGGGGAAUCUUGCGCAAUGGGCGAAAGCAUGACGCAGCCAUGCCGCGUGAAUGAUGAAGGUCUUAGGAUUGUACAACUCUUUCACCGGGGACGAUAAUGACGGUACCCGGAGAAGAAGCCCCGGCUAACUUCGUG
rnacentral:rRNA from 1 species